GUCUAUGGCCAUACCAGCUUGAACACGCCCAAUCUCGUCUGAUCUCGGAAACUAAGCAGGGUAGGACUUGGUUAGUAUUUGGAUGGGAGACCACCUGGGAAUACCAGGUGCUGUAGUCA
ensembl:rRNA 5S_rRNA 5S ribosomal RNA